rnacentral:rRNA from 1 species
GACGAACGCUGGCGGUGUGCUUAACACAUGCAAGUCGAACGGUAAGGCCCUUUCGGGGGUACACGAGUGGCGAACGGGUGAGUAACACGUGAGUAACCUGCCCUCAUCUCUGGGAUAACAGUCGGAAACGGUUGCUAAUACUGGAUAUGAGCUUGCAAGGCAUCUUGUGGGUUGGAAAGAUUUUUUUUGGUUGGGGAUGGACUCGCGGCCUAUCAGCUUGUUGGUGAGGUAGUGGCUCACCAAGGCUUCGACGGGUAGCCGGCCUGAGAGGGCGACCGGACACAUUGGGACUGAGAUACGGCCCAAACUCCUACGGGAGGCAGCAGUGGGGAAUAUUGCACAAUGGACGGAAGUCUGAUGCAGCAACGCCGCGUGCGGGAUGACGGCCUUCGGGUUGUAAACCGCUUUCAAUUGUGACGAAGCUUUUUUGUGACGGUAGCAGUAGAAGAAGCACCGGCUAACUACGUG